rnacentral:lncRNA from 1 species
CUGGGAAAGGUGGCUCUCUCUAAUCCAGGUGGUGUUCUGGAAGAAAAGGGAAAUAAAAGGCCUGUGUCCUGCUUCUCCACCGGAGCUUGCCAAGUCCAGCAGUGUCCUGGUGUGGAUGAGAAAUUACACACUCGUCCUAUUCUUAGCCCAGGGGCCUCUGUGCUGAAAUUAGUGAGGUCAUGUAAUUGAUCUAAGACAGCAGAGCCAGAAGUAAAGGCACUGAAGUUUAAAGCAGACCUGUGAUUUCCAACCCUUAGCUCUUUCCUGUCCCAUUUUCCCCUGUCC